CAUCUGAAAAGUGUUUUAGGGGCAGGGGUGCAAGGCUGAUCUGUUUCUCCCUGCUUGAGAAUCUGCAGAUCUAGAGGAAUCUAGAAGCCCCGGGGACUGGCAGCUCCACAGUGGGUGUGUGUUGCACAUGCCCCCAACCCCAAGACUUGAAAGUAAGAGAUCCUAUUGUUCAAGACACCAUGCACUUCAGCAAAAGGACAUGGAGGAAUUGGGCUGGAACUGACCUUGGACUCCUCCCUGAGGAAUGGCUCUCAUAGUACCUGAAGGAGCCAUGCACACUGCCAAAGGAGAAAAGCAAUGGAGGUCUUACCCAGAUGUAAAGCUGACGAACCACAACAAUGGCCAGCAUGGCAAGACGCCCCCAAGGGUGCAGUAGUGGCACUCAUAUCUUGGGGGCAACCAACAUCGUCUAACUGGAGUUUAGGGACACUCAAUAGGAGGGAAAUCGUACUCUAAACCCAGCCAAUGACCAGUGGCUAGCGAGGUCAUGGAUCUCAGAGGCAAACCUACUACUUCCCCAAGCCAGUAUAAACUCUAACUGCAUCCUUCUAACCACAGAUACAUGGAGCCCUCAGCCCUCAUCAAAGGAGCUUCAUUGUGCAGCCGACAGAGACCAAGAACUUUACCACUGGUCAAAAUGCAGUGAACAAAUGACCAUGGGGAGCUACAACCCAACUGAUACAUCUACCAUAUACAACUCCUACAAACGUUCAGAAAACAUCGAGGAAGGAUCAAUACAGUCACCUAAAGGAGACCUGAAUGAUGACAACAACAGUGAGCGUCAGUGUGGACGCAAAGUUUGCACGAGGCCCCGCUCAUGGAUGAAGAGCCACGGGUGAUUAAUGGCUGCUGAGAGAUAGAGAACCAGCCUUUUCUAGGGAUGAUCCCCCUGAUAGGUUUUUCAGUUCCAAGUGAUCAGCCCUAAGCUCACGUGAACAACUCUAAAUGGAUCCAGUAGGUUGCAUUUAUAUGUACAUACCAUGCUGACUAGUUUUAUGCCAAGUUGGCACAAACUAGCGUCACUGGAGACGAGCCUCUACUGAGAAAAUGCCUCUAUAAGAUCAGGCUGUAGGCAAGCCUGUAGGACAUUUUCUUAGUGAUUGAUGGGGGAGGGCUUGGCCCAUUGUGGGUAGUGUCACCCCUGGUACUGGUGGUCCUGGGUUCUAUAAGAAAGCAGGCUGAACAAACUAUGGGGAGCAAGCCAGUAAGCAGCACCCCUCCAUGGCCUCUGCAUCGGCUCUGCCUCCAGGUGUCUGCCCUGGUGGAGUUCCUGCUCUCACUACAUUUGAUGGGGAACUGUGAUGUGGAAUUUCAAAUGAAAGAAACCCUUUCUUCCCCAACUUCCUUUUGAUCAUGGUGUAUCUAUCAUCAGAGCAACUGUAACCCGAACUACAACACACACAUACAUAUUUAUGUCACAUAAUAAUUAAAGGAGAGAUCAGUAGUUUAAGUGGAGGAACGGGAGGAAUCGCAGGGAAGAGGGAAGGUGUAAGGAUGUAAACACACUACUCGUGUAGAAAAUUCUCAGAAUAAAUAGGUUUAAAAGAGCUACAGAGUAGCUACACUGACCUCA